ensembl:snRNA U6 U6 spliceosomal RNA
GUGCUCGCUUCGGCAACACAUAUACUAAAAUUGGAACGAUACAGAGAAGAUUAGCAUGGCCCCUGUGCAAGGAUGACAUGCAAAUUCGUGAAGCGCUCCAUAUUUUU